UGGUUCAGGACGAACGCUGGCGGCGUGCUUAACACAUGCAAGUCGAACGAUGAACUCAGAGCUUGCUCUGGGGGAUUAGUGGCGAACGGGUGAGUAACACGUGAGUAACCUGCCCUUGACUCUGGGAUAACCUCCGGAAACGGAAGCUAAUACCGGAUAUGACGUGCGGAGGCAUCUCCUGUACGUGGAAAGAAUUUCGGUCAAGGAUGGACUCGCGGCCUAUCAGGUUGUUGGUGAGGUAAUGGCUCACCAAGCCUACGACGGGUAGCCGGCCUGAGAGGGUGACCGGCCACACUGGGACUGAGACACGGCCCAGACUCCUACGGGAGGCAGCAGUGGGGAAUAUUGCACAAUGGGCGCAAGCCUGAUGCAGCAACGCCGCGUGAGGGAUGACGGCCUUCGGGUUGUAAACCU
rnacentral:rRNA from 1 species